rnacentral:rRNA from 1 species
GAUGUCAACCCGGUCCCCGCCUGUUUAUCAAAAACAUGUCUUUUUGUUUUUAUUUAAAGUCUAGUCUGCUCUAUGAUUAUUUAAAUGGCCGCAGUAUUUUGACUGUGCAAAGGUAGCAUGAUCAUUUGCUUCUUAAUUAGGAGCUUGUAUGAAUGGCUGGAUGAGAAAUUGACUUUCUUUAUUUUAUUUUAUAUAAUUUUAUUUUUUAGUUAAAAAGCUGGAAUUUUUUUAUAAGACGAGAAGACCCUAUAGAACUUUAUAUUUUAUUAUAUUAUUUAUUAUUAGAUAAUAAUUUUAUUAUAUUAUUAUUUAUUUUGUUGGGGUGACAGGUAAAUUUAUUUAACUUUACUUAUUUCAUAUUUCAUUAAUUUAUGAUUUAUUGAUCCAUUUAUUAUGAUUAAAAGUUUAAGUUACCUUAGGGAUAACAGCGUUAUUUUAUUGGAGAGUUCUUAUUUAUAAUAAAAUUUGCGACCUCGAUGUUGGAUUAAAAUUAGUUUUCGGAGUAGAAGCUGGUAUCAUACCCCGCUCGCCCUUUUUUC